AAGCAGCGGAGCGUGUGGUUUAAUUCGAUGUUACACGAAGAACUUACCAGGGUUUGACAUGCAAGUGGUAGGAAGCCGAAAGGUGACCGACCUUCGGGGAGCUUGCACAGGUGCUGCAUGGCUGUCGUCAGCUCGUGUCGUGAGAUGUUCGGUUAAGUCCGCUAACGAGCGCAACCCUCGCUGUGUGUUACAAGUGUCACACGGGUACUGCCGGUCUUAAAGCCGGAGGAAGGUGGGGAUGACGUCAAGUCAGCAUGGCCUUUAUGUCCUGGGCUACACACACGCUACAAUGGCCAACACAAUAGGUUGCUAAGCCGCGAGGUGGAGCCAAUCCUCAAAGUUGGUCUCAGUUCAGAUUGCAGGCUGCAACCCGCCUGCAUGAAGAUGGAGUUGCUAGUAACCGCAGGUCAGCUAUACUGCGGUGAAUACGUUCCCGGGGCUU
rnacentral:rRNA from 1 species